ensembl:snoRNA
ACACAGCCAAUGGUUAUCCCUUGCCAGCCUGGCUUGUGGGACUCUAGACAGAGUCAGGCUGCAAGUGGCAGUGGUGAGCUCUUCUGUCCAGCAUCAGUGUUCUACAGUGGCUUUCGACUGGCCGGAUAUGC